AACGGGCCCGUCACCGCCGUCGCCGUCUGUGCGGUCGACAAGCAGCGAGCCAAGGCCGACGCCGCUGCGCCGCACGACGAAAACAACCCUGACGUCGUGCCCCACAUCUGUGAAAACGACUACAGGUGGAUCGAGAGAGACAAGAUCAUGGAGAAAGAAAGUCUUUCACGAGCUUUGUACACGAAUGAAACGACAGACUGCCACACACAAAGCAAUGAAUCAUUUGAAAAGAGGAGUAACGUAAUUUCAGGAAAACAGGUACCAAUAAUUUCCGUAAGCUGCAGUGAAGACAACUCUUCGAACCCGCCACGGGUUUCUGUGACCAGAUUUUGAAGAAAUGUGAUUUGGGAAGCAGCUGGGAAACAACUUCCAGUGCAGCGUUUGAAGAAUUUCUUUUUCGACAUGGAAUUCUUCUUGUUAGCAGCAGAGAAAACUUGGACGAUUAAAUUUCUCCUUCUAAACCAGUGACUGUGAUCGAAAGCGUUAUUUCUCAGUGCACGUAGCUAUGAUGUGCACUACUGAAAAAGUGUGUUCUGUGAAAACAGUAAUUUGAAUAAGAACUAUGAUACAUAUUGUUCUGCUGCGUAAAAUCUCAGGUAAAAGCCUAAAUUUCAAAAAGUUUU